rnacentral:rRNA from 1 species
AUUGAACGCUGGCGGCAUGCUUUACACAUGCAAGUCGAACGGUAACAGGCCGCAAGGUGCUGACGAGUGGCGAACGGGUGAGUAAUGCAUCGGAACGUGCCCAGUCGUGGGGGAUAACUACUCGAAAGAGUAGCUAAUACCGCAUACGAUCUAUGGAUGAAAGCGGGGGACCGUAAGGCCUCGCGCGAUUGGGGCGGCCGAUGUCAGAUUAGGUAGUUGGUGGGGUAAAGGCUCACCAAGCCAACGAUCUGUAGCUGGUCUGAGAGGACGACCAGCCACACUGGGACUGAGACACGGCCCAGACUCCUACGGGAGGCAGCAGUGGGGAAUUUUGGACAAUGGGCGCAAGCCUGAUCCAGCAAUGCCGCGUGCAGGAAGAAGGCCUUCGGGUUGUAAACUGCUUUUGUACGGAACGAAACGGCUCUGGUUAAUACCCGGGGCUAAUGACGGUGCCGUAAGAAUAAGCACCGGCUAACUACGUG